rnacentral:rRNA from 1 species
AUUGAACGCUGGCGGCAGGCCUAACACAUGCAAGUCGGACGGUAGCACAGAGGAGCUUGCUCCUCGGGUGACGAGUGGCGGACGGGUGAGUAAUGUCUGGGGAUCUGCCCGAUAGAGGGGGAUAACCACUGGAAACGGUGGCUAAUACCGCAUAACGUCGCAAGACCAAAGAGGGGGACCUUCGGGCCUCUCACUAUCGGAUGAACCCAGAUGGGAUUAGCUAGUAGGCGGGGUAACGGCCCACCUAGGCGACGAUCCCUAGCUGGUCUGAGGAGAUGAUCAGCCGCACUGGGACUGAGACACGGUCCGGACUCCUACGGGAGGCAGCAGUGGGGAAUAUUGCACAGUGGGCGCAAGCCUGAUGCAGCCAUGCCGCGUGUAUGAAGAAGGCCUUCGGGUUGUAAAGUACUUUCAGCGGGGAGGAAGGCGAUGUGGUUAAUAACCGCGUCGAUUGACGUUACCCGCAGAAGAAGCACCGGCUAACUCCGUGCCAGCAGCCGCAGUAA